AUCGCGACUGCCCAGCUGGUAGAGCAUCUGCCGAGCAUGCAGAGGGUCGCCGGUUCGACUCCGGCUCUCGGCG
rnacentral:tRNA from 1 species